CACUCCUACGGGAGGCAGCAGUGGGGAAUUUUGGACAAUGGGCGAAAGCCUGAUCCAGCAAUGCCGCGUGAGUGAAGAAGGCCUUCGGGUUGUAAAGCUCUUUUGUCAGGGAAGAAACGGUGAAAGCUAAUAUCUUUUGCUAAUGACGGUACCUGAAGAAUAAGCACCGGCUAACUACGUGCCAGCAGCCGCGGUAAUACGUAGGGUGCAAGCGUUAAUCGGAAUUACUGGGCGUAAAGCGUGCGCAGGCGGUUUUGUAAGUCUGAUGUGAAAUCCCCGGGCUCAACCCGGGAAUUGCAUUGGAGACUGCAAGGCUAGAAUCUGGCAGAGGGGGGUAGAAUUCCACGUGUAGCAGUGAAAUGCGUAGAUAUGUGGAGGAACACCGAUGGCGAAGGCAGCCCCCUGGGUCAAGAUUGACGCUCAUGCACGAAAGCGUGGGGAGCAAACAGGAUUAGAAACCCCGUAGUCCCAUGA
rnacentral:rRNA from 1 species